GACGUAGGGCGCGAGCGUUGUCCGGAAUUAUUGGGCGUAAAGAGCUCGUAGGCGGUUUGUCGCGUCUGCUGUGAAAUCCCGAGGCUCAACCUCGGGCCUGCAGUGGGUACGGGCAGACUAGAGUGCGGUAGGGGAGAUUGGAAUUCCUGGUGUAGCGGUGGAAUGCGCAGAUAUCAGGAGGAACACCGAUGGCGAAGGCAGAUCUCUGGGCCGUAACUGACGCUGAGGAGCGAAAGCGUGGGGAGCGAACAGG
rnacentral:rRNA from 1 species